UCCUACGGGAGGCAGCAGUGGGGAAUAUUGGUCAAUGGUCGGGAGACUGAACCAGCCAAGCCGCGUGAGGGAGGAAGGUACAGAGUAUCGUAAACCUCUUUUGUCAGGGAACAAAGGCGGGGACGUGUCCCCGGAUGAGUGUACCUGAAGAAAAAGCAUCGGCUAACUCCGUGCCAGCAGCCGCGGUAAUACGGAGGAUGCGAGCGUUAUCCGGAUUUAUUGGGUUUAAAGGGUGCGUAGGCGGAAUAUCAAGUCAGCGGUAAAAAUUCGGGGCUCAACCCCGUCGUGCCGUUGAAACUGAUGUU
rnacentral:rRNA from 1 species